AGCAGCCGCGGUAAUUCCAGCUCCAAUAGCGUAUAUUAAAGUUGUUGCAGUUAAAAAGCUCGUAGUUGAAUUUCGGGGUCAAUACGUCGGUCGUGCCUCGGUACGCACUAACGUUAUUGAUUCCUCCCUUCUGACGAACCGUGAUGUCAUUAAUUUGGUGUUGUGGGGAAUCAGGACUGUUACCUUGAAAAAAUUAGAGUGUUUAAAGCAGGCAAUCGCUCGAAUACAUUAGCAUGGAAUAAUGAAAUAGGACGUUCGAACCUAUUUUGUUGGUUUCUAGGAUCAACGUAAUGAUUAAUAGGGAUAGUUGGGGGCAUUAGUAUUCAAUUGUCAGAGGUGAAAUUCUUGGAUUUAUUGAAGACUAACUACUGCGAAAGCAUUUGCCAAGGAUGUUUUCAUUAAUCAAGAACGAAAGUUAGGGGAUCGAAGACGAUCAGAUACCGUCGUAGUCUUAACCAUAAACUAUGCCGACUAGGGAUCGGAUGAUGUUAAUUUUUUAAUGACUCAUUCGGCGCCUUACG
rnacentral:rRNA from 1 species